rnacentral:lncRNA from 1 species
CUCGGAGCGGGGCGGGGCGGGCGCGCUGACGUCACGGGCGGCGGCGCUGAGGCCGCGCCCACCCCUCAGCCGCGCGGCUUCCGCCCGGUUGCCAUGGAGACGGGUACACAGCGCGGCCCUGCGCGCCCGCGGGGCCUCCGCCAUGAGCCAGCGGCAGGUGCUGCAAGUGUUCGAGCAGUACCAGCGCGCCCGGACCCAGUUCGUGCAGGCGGUGGCCGAGCUGUCCGCCAGGCCGCACAACGCCGACAGCCUGAGGAGCGCAGGUACCUGGGGGGCCGUGGGGGGCUGCGGGGGGCUGUGAGGGGCUGUGAGGGGCUGCGGGGGUCCAUGGGGGGCUGUGAGGGGCCGUGAGGGGCUGUGGGGGCCCGACCCCCGCGGGCCGUGAGGGGCUGACCCCGGGUUCCCCCCCCCCGGCCGUGCCCGCAGCCCCGCUUCUCCUCCGGCUUCCCCUCCGGUUCCCUCUAUCCCAGCCCCUCCGAGGGGUUUCCGUGGUGUUCCGUGCGUUAUAGUGCUGCCCCUGGGAGUUGUUCAGAGAUUCCUGCGUGUUCCUCGCCGGCCGGGCUGCUCGGCUCGGCUCGGCACGGGCUCGCUUCUGCCGAGCCGGGGAUGCUGCGGGACAGCGGCUGUGCCGUGCUGCUGGCAGCCCCGCUCCGCUUCCCCCAGGUCCCUGAGCUUAACCGAGGACAAAGAGGUGCUCCGAAGUUAAUCACCUGCCAGGCACCGAGACAGAGCGCUGUAAAUCCAUAGUUGCUUUGCCAUAUGGUGUCCACGAACUGGUUGUGUUUUGCUUCGUCCCGAUUUUGUUUUCAGUGCCUGCCUCCCAGCGCUUGCGAAGCUCUCGGUCUAGCCCGAGAGACAAACAAACAACCAGAAAAAGAAAAGCAGUCGUGUAAAUACUUUCGGGUUUCGGGUGUUGUGAUUGCAGCUCUCUGUUAAAAUAGUUCUGCUGAAAAUUGAUCGCUUGCAUACUUUGGUAAGGAAACAUUUGCGUGGGUUAUGGGAGUGACACGCUGCCACCAGGCCUUUUGGAUUGCCUGGUGCUGCUUCUCGGUUUUGUUUGAAUCUUUCAGUGAGAUAAUGCCACUGCUUUAAUUUAUACAAAUCAUCCUCAUUUACCAAAGCGACAUCUUGGCCGUAGGAACAGAUUGCAUCGUAUUUGUAAGAAGAGGUCCCUCUGUGGCCAUUUACAGUUCUGGGUUUUGUCUGUUUGCAGACAGAGGUCCCAUUCAGGCACAGUUCGUACAGUUUGGUGUUUUAAAAACGGCAGAAAACUUCUAUUUUAAGAGAGCAAUCAAAGUGUCAAGCUAAUUUUACUUCCGUUGUAUUUCAUGAUCUUAAAAUAAUUGUCUGA